UUACUAGUUACGAAAAAUCUCCAUCUUCCAUUUGAAUGAGAUCACGAGAUGUCAGCCAGCAGACGAUAAUUUUUCGUGUUGUCAGAUUGCAGAAUAAAAAGUUACGGGUCAGGCCCAGCGCCCAGGCAGCCAGCGACAUUGCGAAACUGUGUCCCAUAUAAUGUAAACGAAGCAGAAGACAGAAGAGCCACAACCAGCCGUUGAAAACCAUGGUACAGGUGGCUAUACGUCUUUCCUGUUUGUUUUUUUACUGGAAAUAUAAGAAAAUGGAUUCAGCAGUACAAAAUAUUCAGCUGGAAAGUUAAAAUAUUAAACAAAAUGGCAAACA